AUGGGGGACAGGCUGGAUUGGAAGUGUUCUGAUAGGGUCUCGCAAGGCACAUCAGGAGGACAAGAGCCACGGUCUUCCAGCACCAACCUAUCCCAGCCUGAAAAUGAAGACUGCGGCAGAAACCAAUGUCCCAGGAAAGAGACGCACCUGGAAUCCGGAGUGAGUCCUCAGAGACACGCACCUGAGCCGUGUACUGAUUCGAAUGAAGAGGUACUUUCAUAACUGUUUUGUGAUCUUUUCCUCCAUGCCCAGGAAGAGGUGGGUCAAGCAGGAAGGAUAUGUCCACAGCCCAAAGUGAAGCUGCUGUUUGGCCCACACCACUCCUCCAGCAAUCUUGAAGAAACUUUGCAUCUAUGGAGAUUCUUGUGAAGGCACGUCAGAGACGGCCAACCAAGCACAUUAUCACUAUUGUUUUCUCACUAUACCAUAAAUUUCUUUGCAGGUAGUGACUCUAGCCUAUUAAUUUUUGAACAGCAUCUGAUUCAAAGUAAAUCAAACUUCAAACACAACAGUGAGUGAAUGAAUGAAGGACAGUUACAAACCAGCAUGAGUCAUCUAUAAUCAAAAUGAUUUAAAUGCCAAUUGAGCAUUUAAAUUGAUAUUUAAGACCUUGUGUGACUGCCAAUGGUCCACUGUCUGCUGUCUGGGCUCAAAAGCAGUACUGGUUUCUUUGUGUUUGUUUUGAUUUUUUUUAAGAAAAAAGAUUGGGUUUAAAAAUCCUGUUUUUAAUUAAAUGAGGGGGGAAUAAAUAAUAGGAAAGAGAAUCAUCACAAGACAAAACUAAAGAGAACUUUGUUUUAU
rnacentral:lncRNA from 1 species